AUGUCAUCGGAUUUUGUUGAUUUUAUGGUUGGGUUGGGUGGCUUGGGUUUUCGGGGAGGAAACCUACCAACCAACCCAAAAGUAUCGGGUUCUAUGGGUGGCAAGCCGCCGCCAACAGACGGAUUGGUCAGUUUGGGAGGUGGUGGUUCGGUUUCGGGCGGGUCCAACUGGUUGAUCGGGUUUCAGGUUGAGUGGACACCUCUAGUUACUUUAAACAUGUUCGACCAAAAAUACCUUAGAAAAUAAUUAAUAAAUACUUGAAAGAUACGGUCUGAAGCGGAAAUAAGAAGCACACGGCGGGAAAAAAAUGAGCAUAUCGAAAAGCAAAGAAAACUGAAAACCUCUCAAAUUAAAAAGCAACCUCUCUCUCUCACAGACUAUUUAAAAGCGACUCAAAGAUAAAAAGAAACCAGAAAAUGAGAAAAUCUCUCUCUCUCUCUCUCUGAGUUUUGUCUUAGACAGAUAUUAGGAACAGAGUCUGAGACUGAGAGCUUCUCAAACCAAGUCCAUUGCCUCCAUCUUAUGAUCGCAGACACAGCCGAAUCUACUUUUUCACAGGUACGCACGUACACACUUUCAUUUCUCAAAACAGAAAAAUCAAAACAAAAUUCUACAUUUCUGUGAUGCCAUUUUUCACAAUGAUCUUUCAUUUUACCAACUUUUUUUUUUUUUUAAGAAAAAAUUUCUUUUCAAAUUCCUCAAAAACUGUGUCUAUAUUCGAUUCUAUCUAGACCUGAAAGACGAUUUUUAUUUUUUGGUAAAAAAAAUGGAUGAUGGGACGGUAUCGCAUACUUCUCCUCUAGUUGAUUUUGAAGAUAUGAUUCGUUUCUUUGUGUCAAUUAUAUGACGUAAAAUUCUUUUGGCAUAUUUUUGAGUGCUCUUACCUCUAUAAUGCUCCGUUUGGUUGCUGCGAAAAGAGAAAGGAAAUCAAAAAUAGUAAAACUUGAUGCUCAUAAUUUCAUUAUUCGGCAUUCCAGAGAAUAUGAAUGUAUUUCCUUACUUUAACUACAAAAAUUCUCAAUUUUCUCCCCAACCAAACAAUGAGUAAAGCCAGUUAUAUUAUUAUUAUUUUUUUUGGUUGAGAAAUUUAGCAUUUUUUUUUUUUUUUUAUAUUCUGCUAAAAGGAAUAGUAGUUCAACAAAGAAUCAUUUUGCUUUAUUUUACAGGCUCUUUAUCUCUGAACCCGACAGAGCAAAGUGAAACGAAAAUCUCACACCAAUCAAGUGUAAUGACUGAACUGCCAAAGAUAAACCCUUGCAAACCUCAGAAAAGUACUAGUCCGAAUCACAAUGAAAGCGAGGGCAUAAUGGUCGUAUAGAAUAUUUCGUAGAGUUAAAGGAGAAGCAAGUUCGUUACAGAGUGAACUUACACAACAAGAAAACAGUGAGUACCUUUUUUGUCAACAAACUCCAUGACUAAUGCUUACACGCAUUCCAAGGAGAUGACCAAAUUCUGUGAAAGUUUUUUUUGAUUCUUUUGAGUUUGUUUGUUUAAUUCUAACUACUGUAGUAAAAAGUUUAUAGUUUGUGUGGGAGAGAGAUUGUGGGUCCCAAAUAAUAAUAAAAAGCAAAGAUGAAUUUUUGUGACUCUAUUCUAACGCAUGCUUUUUCAGCAGAUUUCACGGUCCUGAUUAGAUCCAUCAGAGUAGGAAUCAGCUGUGCCGUGCGUUGCACGUUUCUACGGUACCAGAAAAAUUCUCCUCGGUUUGCAGAGUCUUGUGUGUGAUUUUUGUUUGCGGUGGAUACGCUUUACCUUAACUUAUUUGAUUUAUUUUGGUAUACACUAAUACAUAAUUUUUUAAAAUCUGAUUUUUUUUUUUUUUAGUUUCUCUUUUAGGCGUAGUUGUAUUUUGCUUAGUUUAGCUUUAAGUAAAAAUAAGUUAUCAAAAAUUGUGUAUAUUUUUGGGUUGGAAUUGAGUCCAAUGUAUCUGUAUACUAGAUACAUGUGUUCAGACUGAAUUUAAAUCCUCUGUACUAUUUUUUGAGUUUUACUUUAUGUUCUGUCAAUCAUAACUUGUCAUGUAUUUAUUUGACUUUCCUUAUAGAAUAGCCAAAGUUUAAAAUGGAAAAAAAAAAAAAUUUAAAUACAUGACAAGUUGUAAUUAAUGGAAUAUAAAGUGGAACAAAAAAAAAUUAUACAAAAAAUUUGUAUUCGUUUAGACACUAAACACAAGCAAUUUUCAUAAUAUAUUUUUUUUAGUGUAACAUAACAAUGCACAUAAAUAAAUGCUUUUAUUUACAGUCAAAUGCAUUCAUUUUAAAGUAUUAAUAUGCGAUGUGCAUAUAAAUAAAUGCAUUUAUUUACAAUUAUGACUUCAGAGAAUUACUUGUUUUGUGUAUUUUUAGAUAUCGACCACUAAACAAGCACAUAUAUUAUGGACCACUAGACAAGCACAUAAUUUUUUUUUUUCUUCAUAAGAGAUUAGGGAUUAAUUUCUGUUUAUACUAAAAAUCAAUGGAUAUCUUAAUAUAAGAAUAGAAUAUCUUAAUAUAAGAAUAAAGAGUUAUCAUAGAGCGUCAUAGAAUACAACUCUCUUAAAAGGCACAUUGCGUAUAUCUCUUAUUGCCUGACCUCUCCUAAAAAACACAUUGCGUAUGUCUCUUAUUGCCUAUUUGCCUUAAUACAGACGGGGCUACAUAGCUUGUAGGCUUUCAUUGCGUGAGCUGCGUGUAAAAGACAAAGUUAUUUACAAGCCCAAUAAAACCAAAAGUCUAAAAGGAAUAGCCCAACCCAAUCCAAACUCCACCGAGUCAAUUUUUGUUUGACAAUUGACACUUAGGUAACGGUACGUAAACAUUAUUAGUUUCCCAUAUUCCAAGUGCAAUAAUGCACCUGAAUCACAAUCUGCAAUGCAGGGAAUCAUAGAGCAAUUAGCUGAAUGAAGAAUUUGUGAAUAGGGGGAUCUUUCUUUGCUCCAUAUCUAUGCUCUUUUGUCACAAAAGACAGAGCAUUGCCCAGCUGAGCUGUAUAGGUUGUAGAAAUGGAGAGCGGUGAGAGCAGAAGUAGCAGUAGUGAGAGACACAUUGCGUACAAAGACUCCUCUUGGUUUAGCCAGUUCCGAAAUGGGUCCAAUCCUUGGAUGGCCAGAUAUGUCUACGCCUUGAUUUUUCUAGUUGCAACUCUGCUAGCUUGGGCUGCUCGGGAUUAUGGCCGCUCUGCCUUGACAGAAAUGGAGAGUAAGAUUUUUUGCUUUGAUCUUCAAAAUUUUGUUGCACAUUUUGUGAAUUUUUUAUGUAAAGAUCAGUGAUUUUUUUAAGGAAUUUCAAGCCUGUUGUCAUUGCUCAAGCUCCUUCUCCUGUACAGUUAGUAUAAAUGUAAAUUUCGUUCCCAUUGCUGCAAACUAGACAUCCUUGUUGGCACUGAAUAAAUACCCAUUUGGAAUUUACAUGCAUAAACAUCCACAUUUGUCUAGGUACAUUUUGAAAUGCAUGCAUGAUAUGUACAAUAAUCCUUAGUAACAUUAGUUACAACUUACAAGGAAGGUAGUUAUGAAACAAAUUUGUAGUCUUUGAAUUGUAUACAAUUGUGGUGAGCCGUGAAUUUACACAUGAUCAGGGUGGAGAUAUAAAAGGUUUUUUUUUUUUUUUUAUUUAAAUAUGCCUAGGCUUUGCUCCUAAAGUUGGUGAAGUUCUUAGUCAAGCAAAACAACACAGACUAUUUUGAUAAUUUUGUAUUCUGAUCAGACCAUUAAUACAUCAUGUCAACGCACAUAUGCUGUGGGUACAGGAUUAAAGGGAUGUGAAGGUGAAAAGGAUUGUUUGGGUGCUGAAGGAGUUCUUCGAGUGAGCUUGGGUUGUUUUGUAUCCUUUCAAUAAUGGGAAUAAAAUUCACUUUAGUUCUCAAUAACAGCUUGUCUUAAGAGUUUCCUUUGGUUGAAAGGCAGCUAUUUGUAUGAUUUAUGAUGUGAGAAGAAUGUGAAUUAAUUUGCGCAGCCUGUAUCUUAUAACUAUGGUGUCCCUUGAUCAAAAUGUUCAGCUGUCUACCUAAAUGAUUUAAAAUAGAAGUUUUACUGUGUUAACUCUUGGAUUUUGUCCUGUAAUCUUCAUUUCUUUUUUCCUAAUGGAUCAAGUGAGCCUUAAUACUACUUUAGACGUUCUUCAUCACAAUGUUUCUUUCAACAACUGGUUCCUCGAAGUUGGGUGAGCCCAGAGAUUCAUGGCAUUCUGGAUGGUGGUCUGUCAAGAUUCCUGUGUGGAUUUUCCUCACCAUUAUCCCCUUUUUGCUUCCUUCUGCCAUUAUUCAACUCUAAGGUUAGUCCAAUUCCAUUUCCCAGGAAGCUUGCUGGUUUUUUCUUUUGCUUAGUUUAAUGAAAAAUUUCAAAUCUGUUGCAUUUUUUAAGUAGCCAAUGUUGUGCCUCUGACUUUUUUAUUUUUUUGGCAGGAGGAUUUGCACAUUUUGGUGCCGGGUAUGUAUGAUUCCUAUUAUAUAAUCAUGUCUUCAAAUCACAUAUAUAGAAUAUGUUUGUAAUAGGAGUUGCCGAUAUAAUUAUUUUAUGUUACUUGACUCCUUAAAAUUGUCUGGAAAUUUUUAAAUGAAGUUUUUGCAAUUCCUUUUUCAGGGUCUUCCUUUUAAUUCAGCUGAUAAGCAUAAUCAAAUUCAUUAUGUGGCUGAAUGAUCUUUGUCAUCCCGAAAAAUGUGCAGAAAGAUGGUAAGACUCUUCAUCCAAAUAAUUAUUUCAAGCCCGUUUUGCUGCAUUGUCACAUAUAGUUUGAUUGAGAUAUUAUGUAACAGUCCAAUUCUGUACUUUUUAUUUGUAUUCAUCUUUGGUGUGCUUUGUAAUAGGGCUGUAAAUGAGCCAAACUGAGCUGAGUAUUAAAAGUUUAAGCUUGGCUCAUUUUUUUAGUUCACAACCUACUUGAUUAACUUAUUCUGUUUUUAUAUAUUGAAACGACUAAAAUGAAAUAUCUCUUCACAAUUUUAUGAAUUUUUACUAUGAAUAGAUUGUUUGUAUCAUCAAUAAGCUACAAGUAAUAAUUUAAUAUCAUAUAAACCUAUGACAAACUUAUACAAUCCAAUUUCAAGUCUACAUAAAUAUAUUUUUGGACAAGUAUACAUAUAAAAAAUAUAAUAUUAUAUAUAGUUAAAUUGAGCCCUCAUGUUCACGAGCUUGUUCACGAACACAUUAUUAUGUUUGAAUUUAGUCCAUUUAAUAAUCAAGUCUAAACUUAAAGCUUGAACUUGACUUGUUUUCUAAACAAAUGAAUAUAAACAAGUUUUUUCUUGAACCGAGCUCGAACUAUUCAUAAACAGCUUGGUUCAUUUACAGCCUUAUUUUGUGCUCCUCAUUGGUGGUCUGUCAUAUAUGUUUUAUUCAUUGAGCUUUCCUAGUGCGGCAAGUGGUGAGACAGCGAUAAUAUAUUUUUAUUUCACCUUCACAAACCUCUACUCACUCAUAUACAAGUAUUUAGUACAUCUAAGAUAGUAUGUGAUUAAAAUAGUUUAAAAUGUCUUGUUUCAUAAAUUGUUUUGACAAUUUCAACUGUCACACACACAAACAAAAACACUAAAUAAUGCUUUCUUGCAAAAUGGAAUGUACUGUGGCUUUUAGACAAUGAUAUUAACUACUGAGGUUGCUUAUCUCAUUCUCACUGCAGCCAAAUUCAUGUGAUGUUACUCGCAACUACUGCAUAUGUUGUGUGUUUAGCGGGAAUAAUUUUGAUGUACAUUUGGUACGUACCAGAGCCAUCUUGCCUCCUCAACAUCUUCUUCGUUACCUGGACCUUGGUACUCCUCCAAUUCAUGACCAGCGUCUCUCUUCACCCAAAAGUAAGUUCUGAUCAUCAAUGUGCCUCUCAGUUCUUUCAUAUUCUAAACGAAUUUGAUUUAGAUUGCUAAUCUUUUCCUGAAACAGGUAAGUGCUGGCAUCUUGACACCUGGGCUCAUGGGGCUUUAUGUAGUAUUCAUCUGUUGGUGUGCAAUUAGAAGGCAUGAUUUCUAAUCUUUGGUUGCUUUGCUUAAACAAAUGUUAUUGUUCAAUGGUUUUAAACUUCCCCUUUAUAGUUCUUAGCUUUUCGGGCAAACAUGGCAGUUUAACGAAAGCUUUUUAAUUGCAAAUCAAGAUGUUAUGAGGUUGGGGAGUUUAUAUUGGGACUUGGAGGACCCAAUUUUGUAGCCCAUUGCUCACUUCUGACAUAAACAGAAAAGUACAUGAGGGGGAAAAGUGGUUUGAAGAAACACCCUCACCCUUCCAAGUGAAAAGUUAUGUGCCAAAAAGAGAUUGUCUUUGAAUUCUGCUUCAAAAUCUAAAUUCAUUCAUCUGAUCAAUUAAGCCAAUUUAAUACAUUUAAAUAGAAUGGUGGAAUCUUAAUGUGGUUCAUUUGUGCUUUCUGUUAUCAAUUGCUUUUAGAAAAUCAAUGUUACCUUCACAUUUUCUAUUUUGCUAAAUUUAAAACUAUCCAUGUUUACAGCGAGCCGGCAGGGGGAAGUUGCAUUAGAAAAACAGAGGCUACAGACAAAACAGACUGGCUUACCAUCAUAGUAAUAUCUGGAUUCUUCAUAAAUCUUUUUAGUAGUUUGGAGCUCGGGAUUUAUGAUUGUUAUCUCAUAAUAAAUUUUUUUUUGUGAUCUGUGCCUAAAAGUACUUUUGGUUUUCUAAAUUUGACAACUGAUUUCAGUAAAUCUGAAUUGUUUAUUCUGAAAAUCCAGGCCAUUGCCAGUCUUAUUAAAAAAACAAAAACUUUUUAGUUAAUUUAUCAUCUUUCAACUGCUCUGGCUGGCUAUUUAGCGUUAUGCUCAGUGUGGCUAAGCUUAUUUUAUUAGACAAAUAAAGAAUGUACUCUCUUUUUUUCUGGAACUCAAUGAUCACAUAGACCAUGAAAAACACACGGAUCUAUCACUUUUACACCAAGGCCAAUAGUUCAUGAUAAGCCAGCCUAUACUGUACAUACAAAAUGAACUAAUUUAAUAACAAGGUCUUUGUUUUCUUUUUCAUCUAAAACAACACACCAAAAACAUAUCAGAAGAUUUUGUAAAAAAAUGUUGUAACUUAUAAUCAACUCUCAAUUUUGGCCAGUAUGUUUAAUAUGACUCUGGCUAGCUUUUGUUUUCACUGUCGCAAUUUCAUGAUCCUCUUUUCCCAGUGUGACAAUGACUUUCAUAUGUUGACAGAGCUUUGUUGUUGCUGUACUUGCAAUGGUUAUUGCAACAUUUUCAACAGGCAUAGAUUCCAAAUGCUUUCAGGUUUGCUCCAUAUUCCCAACCAACUUCUAAUUGGUUACCAACAUUUCCGCCAAGGUCUAUCUAACAACAGCUGCAGUUCAGGACGGAUGACGUGCAAGCUGAAGAUGAUGAUGUUCCAUAUGGUUAUGGCUUCUUCCAUUUUGUCUUUGCCACAGGAGCAAUGUACUUUGCAAUGCUAUUGAUUGGUUGGAAUACCCAUCAUGCCAUGAGAAAGUAAGUUCUUGUAUUAUCUUUGGUCCAUCAAAUUGUUCUAACUAAAAUAUUUCCAAUGUCAAUUAUAAAAUGACAAAACCCAACUUCAGAAGCCACAAAACCUUUUCCACAUAUUAUUCUCAGUUCAUGGAUCAUUAACAAAAAUCAUUUUCAUGCUGAGUAAAGCAAUGCCAUACCUGCAAAAUACUCACUAAAAGCAUGCCACAUCUCAGAGUUCAACCUGUAUUUUUUCUCAGUUAAGUUCAUUAUAAGCAGAUUUACUAUCAGUUCAAUCUGUUUGCUUCCUGUCAACAUAAGUAUGAUUUUGGUAAGGAAAUGAUGUGUUAUUCCCCCAUGCCCUUCUGCAGGUGGACUAUCGAUGUGGGUUGGACCAGCACAUGGGUCAGAAUAGUAAAUGAGUGGCUGGCUGUCUGUGUUUACUGUAAGUACUGUAACAAAAACCAAAUGUCACAUGAUGCUUUUCUGAGGAUAAUCAUUUUAUCAGAAAAGUUGGAUGAAUUAUGGCUAUUUUGAGAGUUUGGAUUACAAGAUUCUGAUUUAAUUAAGUUGUUACAGCAAAGGCAUAGAAUAUUCUUAGUGCGAGUCUUGUGACAUUUUUGAUAACUAACAUGCAUACUUACUAAAGACUAACUAUGUUUGCAGUAUGGAUGCUGGUGUCUCCAAUCAUAUGGAAAAACAGACAUGCAGCUGAAUCCACAUGA
rnacentral:sRNA from 1 species